CCCUUAGAUGUUCUGGGCCGCACGCGCGCUACACUGAUGCACUCAACGAGUCUCCACCUUGACCGAAAGGUCCGGGAAACCUUCGAACUUGCAUCGUGAUGGGGAUAGAUUAUUGCAACUAUUAAUCUUCAACGAGGAAUACCUAGUAGGCGCAUGUCAUCAGCGUGCGUCGAUUACGUCCCUGCCCUUUGUACACACCGCCCGUCGCACCUACCGAUUGAAUGGUCCGGUGAAGCCUCCGGAUUGGCGCGCACCUCGGUGCCGCCGAGAAGUUGGCUAAACCUUACCAUUUAGAGGAAGGUGAAGUCGUAACA
rnacentral:rRNA from 1 species